GUGAGGGCUAAGAGAAUGCUUUAAAAUUAAACAGAAUGGACAUUCUUGAGCCUGUUUUUAUGCUGCAGAGGAGAGGCAGUUGAAAAGGAGAUUAGAGAUACAAGGGCAUGGCAGGGGGAUGAUUAACAGAACACGGCCCUGGAGGAUUUGGGAGGGGAUGCUCUGAAGGCCAGAUCCAACAUUUGACCUUGGACAAGAGAAGGGGGAGGAAAAAAGAAAGCAAGUUUUCUGCCAGCCAGGAAUGGGCCUAAUUUGUGUCCAUGUCCCGUGCACACGGUGCCUGGCACACAGCAAGGUGCGGGGUGGGGGAGGUAGGAGGAUGCAGAUAACGCUGGGCUGCAGGGUGGUGGGUUGGAGGGGUGGGACUGAGAGUUGAGAAUCCUGGCCCUUACCUCGUUCCGAAGAGAAGGAGAUGGCAGGACCAUCUGUUGAAGGUGUCAGAAAAAGUGGUGGUAUUUGAAAAGAAGCUAUGGGUUGGGAGGACCCAGCUGGAAAAGGAGAAGGAAGAAGCCGCCGUGGCGCAGGAGAGGCUCACGGAGGCCAGGGACCAUGAAAUUAGAGGCCAAAUCUGUGGGAUCGUGGAGUCUUCUCCAGCAACGUGCAGCUGCACACAGUCUUCCGUGGACCUCCAAGAAAGCCAUCUAUUUUAAAGAGGAACAAGGUUGAUCCACUUAAUCUCUGCACCUGACAUGGGGCUCAAACUCAUGAUUCUGAGAUCAAGAACGGGAUGCUCUACUGAGUGGACCAGCCUGACGCCCUCCUAAAGUCACUUUCUAAACUUCAGCUUUGUUCUUCCUCACUCUGUGGCUUCCUCAUCACAUCACAGGCAAAGGACUCCUCCCCAGGAACUGAAGCUGGUUUGGAGCCCCCAUAGUGGUGUGGAAGGGAGCCAAUCAUUUCACCUGCUGCUCAAUGCAGCUUACGCAUGCAUCUUGCUAAAGAUGAUGACCCAGCAACCUGAGCUGAUGAGGUGGUGGGUCUCAGUCCACUCUAAACAAGCUUGCAUCGUUUUAGCAGCCGACUGCACUUAUCUUUUGAGCUUUGAACCAUGCCCCAGUGGGGCAUGCUUCUUGAUCUCAUUGAUACUGGAGUUGGCCAUGUGAUUUGCUUCGGCCAAAAGUUUGAUAAAUGUGUCAUGAAAUGGAGCCUUCCAUGCGUCUGCACACUGGACUUGUGUUCAGAGCUCCACUCUGAGAAGUACAUAUGCCAAGUGACCAUGGAUCUGGGGAGGAUCAGAGACAUGUGGAACAGACUAUUUCACCUUCCUGCAACAUCAGGAUGGGCGGGAGGAGGCCGCUUCGUCUGAGAAGGCAAAUCUCUACCCAGGUGGUGGCAGCAAUGGCCACAGCAGUUAUAGACAUUUGCUCCAGUAUCUCUGCACUCAGACAGGGAAGGGGCACCUCUCCAGGAAAUCUAGCAGAAGUUCUGGGAGCUGCUGUCAUUGCCCAUCCUUGGCCCACUGAAGCAAUCAUGACAGUUCUGUGUGCUUUCGCCAGGGCAAGGUCAAUGUCCACACUUGGAACUGGAGAAGAAGCACCGAGAAUGCCAGUUUCCCGGACACUUGGUCACCAAUGGUUAUUGAGACAUUACAUCUUGGCUCAUCUGACAAAUGAAAAUGAUGGAGAAACUGACUUCUAGGGAAGCAAAAUUAAUGGUCCAAGAUUGGAGAGCGGGUCAGCACCAGAACACAUGCUGUCUGAGGUAUUACUUAGGGUUUGUAUUCUGCUGUGUACUAUAUCAAGAGGUCGAUCAUAGAGAUUUAAACCACUCAUUGUAAUCUAUUAAUAUCCUGAAGAGUUUCUUAUGACUGUAACCACCAACCCAAUGAGCCAGCAUCUCCAUCCAAUUUUUCACUUAAUGGUGUAUUUUGCCACCGUUCAGCAAUCUGGAGACUGGCUCUCUGUGCAUUGUGCUAAACCUGUUUAAGCGCAGCAGUAAAACUUUCUGCAUGUCAGUGGCCAGCUCACGGAAUGGGAGCUCCUUAUGCUCAGCCAAAGCCAACUCAAGAUAAAUCGAGUGAGAAAAAUCAAUAGUCUCACUGCCAUUUCUUACAGUUUUCAUGAAUUGUUUAACAUAAUGAAAUAGUCACAGGAACAAAACAUUCUAACACUCCCUGAUGUGUUCUUCUCUUUGUAGAGCUAUCCCAAAUUCUUCAUAAAAUUAUACCCACUUAAUUUCCAUCUUGGAUUUAGAAAUUCAUUUUUUUUUGUAUCCCUCAUGAGACUUUUAAAUAAUGACCAAAAGUUGAGUUUAUCAUUAGGAGAAUUUUAAGAAGAGAUUUGUUCUGUCACAGACUUUAACCCAAGGAACCCUAAGGACAUGGGUCCCAGCCUUCACUGUUCCCACUAUACCACCGUAGGGUUUUUCCCAGGCUGAAGAAAUAAAAAUUUUGAUUAUCCUUAUAAUUUAGAUACAUCUUGGUCUUCUCUUCUUAAACUAAAUUUUAAAAAAUGUAAAGAACCUAUAAUCUAUCAGCUAUGAAGUUAUUGCUAUAAUUUUCAAAUUGAUGAAAAAGACAUGAUCUUGAAGAAAAGAAUGGAACAAGACAAAAACAACAGGCAAUUUGAUACUUAAGCUACAUAUUACCAAGUCAUCCUUAUCAGGAAGCAAAAAAAGUGAGGUUUUAAUAUAGAAAAAAGAAAUAAAAUAUGUGUGCACUUUAAAUAGUGUAAUUAAUAGAAAAUGUUUCAGUAUGUGGUCUCACUUUUUUUUUUCCAGUCAAACGUGUGCAGCUUAACCACAGUUUGGCUGGGAAUCUGUGGUGAGGGGCCUACGUGCACUAUUUCUGUUUUUGAGAGAGUUGUUUUAUUUUUUCUCCCUUUUUCAUUUCCAGGUUAUGUUCAGUUAAUUAUUGAAAUGCUGAACAUUCUGUCCUAAUACUUGAGAUUGCUUGACUUGUGUGGGGCAAAGGGAAGCAUAAUGGAUACAAGGGAAAUUCUCCCAGUCCUGUUUUAUUGACCUUCUCUCCAAGUACAUUCAUAAGAAAUUGUGCUAAAUAAAUUGAAGUGUGCCUUUGGUUUCAGCUAAA